rnacentral:rRNA from 1 species
UACGAAGGGUGCUAGCGUUGCUCGGAAUCACUGGGCGUAAAGCGCACGUAGGCGGCUUUUUAAGUCAGGUGUGAAAUCCUGGAGCUCAACUCCAGAACUGCCUUUGAUACUGAGAAGCUUGAGUCCGGGAGAGGUGAGUGGAACUGCGAGUGUAGAGGUGAAAUUCGUAGAUAUUCGCAAGAACACCAGUGGCGAAGGCGGCUCACUGGCCCGGUACUGACGCUGAGGUGCGAAAGCGUGGGGAGCAAACAGG